AGUCAACAAAAAAAAAUGCUGCUUUUCUGAUGAAAGACCUUGGUUGCUAGGAAGAAUGUAUUCAAGUGUUUGCUUAUGUUUUGCUGGGAUUUUCAUCAGUGUGGUGUAGGUGGCUAACACUCUGCCCUUUAAAUAAUGUUUUCUUAAGUAGUGAAACUAUAACUCAGUGAAGAAAUUGCAGUAAUCACAUUUCCUCAAAAAGUGAGAAUUAUGACCUCUGUGUAAUUAAAAUGGCAUCUUUCAAACAUAAAUCUACUGGCUAAUACAUUUUAAUAUAUUUUCAUAAUUACAGAUAUUUGAAAUCAACUUGAUAUUGAAAAGAGAAAAUGCUGAUCCUGCAUGCAGAAAGUGUAUCACACCCAUUUGAAUCAUUCUUUUUUUUUUCCCUCCCCGGAUGUCCAGUGUAGUUUGGUGGAGGUGUUGGCAAGUUCCUGACCAUACAGUUGAUGAUGCUUUGCAGGGAGGGGCAUAUAUUAAGCAAUUGCUUGAGUGAGGAAAUGCCUCUUCAUCUGCUUCUCACAGGUUGGACUUGGAAGGAGGCCUUGCCUUCAUCUUGACAUUGUUUGCAUGCUGCUCAGCUUACUCAUGACUGUUCUGUCAGCAUGAGAAAGAGAAGACUUGGGGCUACUUUCACGCUUGGGGCUUGUCUUUUUGCUGUCAAAAAUGUUUCUUGUUCUGCAAGAAAAUGACUUCAAACACAGCUCCUUCUUAUGCAGCUGUUAUGCAGACAAAGGUGGGUUUGUAAAUUGCGAGAGUGUAUCUAUGUAAGAACUGAAAGGUUCAAAUAGGCAUUUAGGCUGUUUAGUGCCCAAAGUGCCUUUGUUGUGUGUAACAUAAAACUGGUAACAGGGAAUGUAACAAACAUCCUGCAGUCUCUAGAGGCACCUAGGAAUUUGUGGUUGAGCAUUUGCCCUUGUCUCCUUUCCUGUUACUGUGUAUUUGUCAUUCACAGUUAGUUAGUUGAGGUGAAGUAGAGAAUAACAUAGUAUUUGGUAAUCAAAACGAAGGGAGAGACAAAAGAAAAGGCCAGUAAUGCAAGGCAGUUAUUGAGAGUUAUGUUACAAAAUUAGUCAAAAGUGGAAAAAGUGGACCUUCUAUGUUAGACAGGCAGCAUUUUACCUUAGUGCAGCAAUAUUCCCUUAGUGACUCUAGUGCAGUCUUUGUAGCUUUUGGCUAACAAACACGGAGAAUUUCAUGUUUGUGGUAUAAACUAUGCAUAGUAGAACCAAACAAUAUAGUGAAUUAGUGACCCUUGAGUGUGGUCAGAAAUCCCUGUAAGGCCGGGUUUGGCAGUAUCUAAAGGUUGGAACUGUUUGCGUUAGAUCUAUGGCUCGCUUGUGAAGCUAGCGUUGUAGGUCAGUCACAGCCAGAAGUGUGAAGCUCAACAGCAGAAUGAGCUCAGUAACAAAUGCUGAUGUUAACAGAAAAAUAUCCACUGCCUUCCUUUUGUUUUGAGUUUGUUUCACAGGCAGUUUGAGCUGCCUGUGAAAGGAAGCAUGUAAGAAUUUAACCCAGUGCUUGUUGCCCAUCUUUAUUUGCUCAUCUUACCCAGCCUCAUUCAAUUAAUUACCAACAUAAUUUAAUUUAAAGCUAUAAUAUAUUCCAAUUCGAUUUUAGUGCAGUACAGCUGUACUUCAAAUGCUGUGUUUUAGUUCAAAAUAUGAAGUAGAAAUAGAGAAACAAAAUGUCAAACAAUAGAGUGGCAACCUUCUAAAGGGGAAUGUCAUUUCAGUUAAAUUUUCAGAGCAGUGAAUGCUGAGUUGGGUAUUUUCUGUAUCAUAGUAGCUUGUCAAUGAAAGCAUGCUUGUCUUAAUGUUUCUUGACUAGCUUUUGUUAGUGCACCAGGAGUCUCAGAAUUUGGCAGGACAGUUACUCAUCUGUAGAGAUGGUAGUCUUGUAGAAUAAACACACUGUAGAAAUUUGCCCCAAGUUCCAAAGAAAAUGAUGUUUGCCUGGGAACCUAGGCAUCUUGAUUCUUAGCCAGCACAAUUUACCACUGAGACCAGGCUAAUGUGUGUCUUUCUUUAAUAUCUCCUUGAAGGAAAGAGGCACAUAUAUGUAUGCAAACAAACCUGUGCAUCUGGCAACUUCACACCUUGCUGAAAGCAGAUCUUGGGUAGGAGGCUUCCUACCACAUGGAAGCCUCAUGGCUUUGGUUUUCAUGAGGAGAUUAUUUUCUUGCUGCAACAGCUGUAGACAACCUGAAUAUCAUCCUUUUUCAUUUUCUUAGGUCAACUCUAUCUGUGGGUGAGUUUAGAAUCCCCAAAUGACUAUUAUGUCAUAGGUACCAGAUAAAGAUUUUAAAGCUAUAUUAAUGUCAUUUCUUAGGGGUCUUUGCCAAUUUUCAACAUCAGUCUGUUGUGAAUCAUGCAGAAAAGGAAUGGAAUCUACCACAGCCUGAGAAUGACAAGAGACAUUAUGAACCAACUGGGAAUACCUGGAGAGAGUAGAGCUGAGUUUCCUAAUGCUGAAGUGGAAAGGAGCUUA